UCCCUGUUGGUGUAACUGGCUAGCACGCUUGCCCCGGAAGCAGGCGAUCGAGGUUCGAGACCUCGACAGGGAA
rnacentral:tRNA from 1 species